rnacentral:rRNA from 1 species
UGGGGAAUCUUCCGCAAUGGACGAAAGUCUGACGGAGCAACGCCGCGUGAGUGAAGAAGGUUUUCGGAUCGUAAAAACUCUGUCUUUUGGGGGCGAACGUGAGUAUGGUGAACAAUCAUAGUCAGUGACGGUACCAAAGGAGGAAGCCACGGCUAACUACGUGCCAGCAGCCGCGGUAAUACGUAGGUGGCAAGCGUUGUCCGGAAUUAUUGGGCGUAAAGAGCGCGUAGGCGGGAUAGUCAGUCUGUUGUAAAAGUGCGGGGCUCAACCCGUGAUCGCAAUGGAAACAGCUAUUCUUGAGUGCAGGAGAGGAAAGUGGAAUUCCCAAGUGUAGCGGUGAAAUGCGUAGAUAUUGGGAAGGAACACCAGUGGCGAAGGCGACUUUCUGGACUGUGUCUGACGCUGAGGCGCGAAAGCCAGGGGAGCGAACGGGAUUAGAUACCCCGGUAGUCCUGGCCGUAAACGAUGGGUACUAGGU